GCAAAUGUAGUUUAAAUAAAACACUAGAUUGUGGUUCUAGAAACAAAAGUUAAAGCCUUUUCAUCUGCC
rnacentral:tRNA from 1 species